AGGUUAUGAUGUGGACAUCUCCUCAAAAGGUCCUUCAACCUCUCCCAUGUUUCGAACAAUGACUCAACAUUGAUUUGAGUAAAUGAAAUGAUCUCUUUCCAUAGAUU